rnacentral:rRNA from 1 species
GACGAACGCUGGCGGCGUGCUUAACACAUGCAAGUCGAACGGAAAGGCCCUGCUUUUGUGGGGUGCUCGAGUGGCGAACGGGUGAGUAACACGUGAGUAACCUGCCCUUGACUUUGGGAUAACUUCAGGAAACUGGGGCUAAUACCGGAUAGGAGCUCCUGCUGCAUGGUGGGGGUUGGAAAGUUUCGGCGGUUGGGGAUGGACUCGCGGCUUAUCAGCUUGUUGGUGGGGUAGUGGCUUACCAAGGUUUUGACGGGUAGCCGGCCUGAGAGGGUGACCGGCCACAUUGGGACUGAGAUACGGCCCAGAGUCCUACGGGAGGCAGCAGUGGGGAAUAUUGCACAAUGGGCGGAAGCCUGAUGCAGCAACGCCGCGUGCGGGAUGACGGCCUUCGGGUUGUAAACCGCUUUCGCCUGUGACGAAGCGUGAGUGACGGUAAUGGGUAAAGAAGCACCGGCUAACUACGUG